rnacentral:rRNA from 1 species
GUGCAGCAGGUCGAGAAACCUCCGCAAUGCGGGAAACCGCGACGGGGGGACCCCGAGUGCCGUGGCAACGCCACGGCUUUUCCGGAGUGUAAAAAGCUCCGGGAAUAAGGGCUGGGCAAGGCCGGUGGCAGCCGCCGCGGUAAUACCGGCGGCCCGAGUGGUGGCCGCUAUUAUUGGGCCUAAAGCGUCCGUAGCCGGGCCCGUAAGUCCCUGGCGAAAUCCCACGGCUCAACCGUGGGGCCUGCUGGGGAUACUGCGGGUCUUGGGACCGGGAGAGGCGGGGGGUACCCCUGGGGUAGGGGUGGAAAUCCUAUAAUCCCAGGGGGACCGCCAGUGGCGAAGGCGCCCCGCUGGAACGGGUCCGACGGUGAGGGACGAAGGCCAGGGGAGCAAAACCGGAUUAGAUACCCGGGUAGU